AACGCGAAGAACCUUACCAGCCCUUGACAUCCCAGUCGCGGGAACGAGAGAUCGAUCCCUUCAGUUCGGCUGGACCGGAGACAGGUGCUGCAUGGCUGUCGUCAGCUCGUGUCGUGAGAUGUUGGGUUAAGUCCCGCAACGAGCGCAACCCUCGCCCUUAGUUGCCAUCAUUCAGUUGGGCACUCUAAGGGGACUGCCGGUGAUAAGCCGCGAGGAAGGUGGGGAUGACGUCAAGUCCUCAUGGCCCUUACGGGCUGGGCUACACACGUGCUACAAUGGCGGUGACAAUGGGAUGCAAUGGGGCGACCCUGCGCAAAUCUCAAAAAGCCGUCUCAGUUCGGAUUGUGCUCUGCAACUCGAGCACAUGAAGUCGGAAUCGCUAGUAAUCGCAGAUCAGCACGUUGCGGUGAAUACGUUCCCGGGUCUUGUACACACCG
rnacentral:rRNA from 1 species